AUGCUGCCCACGACGGCGUCCAAGGGCCGCGGGGCCGCCCGCUCCGCCCCGCCGCUCUUCGGCCCGUAUCUCCGCCGUAUCGUCAAGUGGCAGCAAAUGGAUAUCGAAUACACGUUUUGGCAAAUGGUUCAUCUCUGUACUUCACCAAAAGUAGUCUAUCAGCACACCAAAUAUCACAAGCAAACAAAGAACCAGUGGGCUAGGGAUGAUCCUGCAUUUAUUGUCAUUCUAAUUCUUUUCCUUGUGUUUGCGACAUCAGCUUACUGUGCAGCGUUUGGAGAGAGUGCGCCGCAUGCUGCUUUAACAAUCAUCUCGGUUGUGUUUGUCCAUUUCUUGUUUGCUGGGCUAGUUUUGGCCACACUUUGCUGGUUUCUUACCAAUUCUUAUCUGAGGGAGGAACCUAAUAGCCAUGUGGUCGAACAACGUGUCGAGUGGCUCUAUGCAUUUGAUGUUCACUGCAACUCGUUCUUCCCUGCAUUCGUCAUCCUAUAUGUGCUUCAAUACUUUUUGUCGCCUCUGUUGAUCGCUCAUGGAUUCUUGCCUGCCCUAUUAUCAAACCUCCUGUUCAUGGUGGCAAUUUCUUAUUAUCACUAUCUGAACUUUCUAGGAUAUGAUGUUCUUCCAUUUUUGGACCGAACGACAUUUUUCUUGUACCCAAUCGGACUUGUCAUCAUACUAUCGCCACUCAUGAUACUCAUAGGGUUUAAUCCAACAAGAUACUUUCUGAGCUUGUACUUCCGGUAA
rnacentral:rRNA from 1 species